UACAGAGGGUGCAAGCGUUAAUCGGAAUUACUAGGCGUAAAGCGCGCGUAGGUGGUUCGUUAAGUUGGAUGUGAAAUCCCCGGGCUCAACCUGGGAACUGCAUUCAAAACUGUCGAGCUAGAGUAUGGUAGAGGGUGGUGGAAUUUCCUGUGUAGCGGUGAAAUGCGUAGAUAUAGGAAGGAACACCAGUGGCGAAGGCGACCACCUGGACUGAUACUGACACUGAGGUGCGAAAGCGUGGGGAGCAAACAGG
rnacentral:rRNA from 1 species